UACGGGGGGAGCAAGCGUUGUCCGGAUUUACUGGGCGUAAAGGGCGCGUAGGCGGCCACUGCAAGCCGGUUGUGAAAUCUCUGGGCUUAACCCAGAAAGGUCAUCCGAUACUGCGGGGCUAGAGUGCAGAAGGGGCAACUGGAAUUCUCGGUGUAGCGGUGAAAUGCGUAGAUAUCGAGAGGAACACCUGCGGCGAAGGCGGGUUGCUGGGCUGACACUGACGCUGAAGCGCGAAAGCUAGGGGAGCGAACGGG
rnacentral:rRNA from 1 species